rnacentral:rRNA from 1 species
CGUAGGUGGCAAGCGUUGUCCGGAAUUAUUGGGCGUAAAGCGCGCGCAGGCGGUCCUUUAAGUCUGAUGUGAAAGCCCACGGCUCAACCGUGGAGGGUCAUUGGAGACUGGGGGACUUGAGUACAGAAGAGAAGAGUGGAAUUCCACGUGUAGCGGUGAAAUGCGUAGAGAUGUGGAGGAACACCAGUGGCGAAGGCGACUCUUGGUCUGUAACUGACGCUGAGGCGCGAAAGCGUGGGGAGCAAACAGGAUUAGAUACCCUGGUAGUCCACGCUGUAAACGAUGAGUGCUAAGUGUUAGAGGGUUUCCGCCCUUUAGUGCUGCAGCUAACGCAUUAAGCACUCCGCCUGGGGAGUACGGCCGCGAAGGCUGG